GUUUUAUUGGGCCCCUUAGAGGCCAUUGGGAGGGGGGCUCAGCCCUACUUGUACUGCAACAAGGCCUCGUUGUAGAUCAUGGCCAAGGCGCCCAGGAAGGUGACGUACUCCUGGAAGUUCACCUCCUGGUCUUUGUUGCGGUCCAGGUCCUCCAUCAGCCCCGCGAUCUCCGCAUCCUUCAGUUUCGGCCCGAUGGUCAACUCCUUCUGGAUCAGCUCCUUCAGCUCGCCCUUGCUCAGGCUGUUCUUGUCGCCCUCCUUGCCCGAAUACUUGUGGAAAGUGGCCACCAGGAGCCCAAUGGCUUGGUCCAGGGGGGCUGCCAUGGCUGCGGGCUGGGCGCUGGAGCAGGGCAGGAUCCGGGAACGGGGAAGGGAGGGCUGCGGUGCGCAGCUCCUCCUCGCAUUUAUAGCCGUGGCUGAGUCCUCC
rnacentral:lncRNA from 1 species